UACAGAGGUCCCAAGCGUUGUUCGGAUUCACUGGGCGUAAAGGGUGCGUAGGUGGUUGUGCAAGUCUGAUGUGAAAUCUCUGGGCUCAACCCGGAAAUGGCAUUGGAAACUGCAUGGCUAGAGGGUUGGAGGGGGGACUGGAAUACUUGGUGUAGCAGUGAAAUGCGUAGAUAUCAAGUGGAACACCAGUGGCGAAGGCGAGUCCCUGGACAACACCUGACACUGAGGCACGAAAGCUAGGGGAGCAAACAGG
rnacentral:rRNA from 1 species